rnacentral:rRNA from 1 species
UGCAGUUAAAAAGCUCGUAGUUGGAUUUCUGCGGGGGCGGGGCGGCCGAACGCUUAUAGCGUUUCGAGCUAGCACUUCCCCUGCAUCCUGCCGCGAACCGUGCUACCAUUAGUUUGGUGGCGCCGGGGAUCGGCUCGUUUACUUUGAGAAAAAUAGAGUGUUCAAAGCAGGCCACACGCCUUGAAUAAGUUAGCAUGGAAUAAUGAUAAAGGACUUCGGUUCUAUUUUGUUGGUGUUCGGGACUGAAGUAAUGAUUGAUAGGGACAGUUGGGGCGGUCCGUAUUCCAAAGCGAGAGGUGGAAUUCUUAGACCUUCGGAAGACGAACAGCUGCGAAAGCGUUCCGCAAGGAUGUUCCCUUUGAUCAAGAACGAAAGUUGGGGGAUCGAAGACGAUCAGAUACCGUCGUAGUCUCAACUAUA